rnacentral:rRNA from 1 species
UACGUAGGGGGCGAGCGUUGUCCGGAUUUAUUGGGCGUAAAGAGCGUGUAGGCUGUUCGGUAAGUCUGCCGUGAAAACCUGAGGCUCAACCUCGGCGUGCGGUGGAUACUGCCGGGCUAGAGGACGGUAGAGGCGAGUGGAAUUCCCGGUGUAGCGGUGAAAUGCGCAGAUAUCAGGAGGAACACCGAUGGCGAAGGCAGGUCUC